rnacentral:sRNA from 1 species
UAGAGAGCCCCAGAGGCUGAAGCCAUCUUCUUGUUUACAGGUCAGGUACAAUGUGGGCAGGUGCAUUGUCGGCUUCCUUACACUGCCCCACCAGUUCACCUCAAAGCCGACAUGGAUGGACCACUCUCUAAUAGGGGUGAGAAGGUAAAUUAAGUGCCCCCUGAUACUACAAUGUAUUCCUCCCAAUA